rnacentral:lncRNA from 1 species
GCUGGCCAUCGGGGACCGAGUGGUAAGGCCAUGAUCCGCAGGGGAACAGAUCACUCAUUCUUCCAUUGGGGACAGGUGCACGAACGACAACUCCAAACGUCACACAUCCGCCGCCUACCUACCGUUUAGGUGGCACCAGCGAGAUCCAGCUAAGGUAAGGAACUUCGUGUCGCGGCUGCUCCACUCCGCUGCGCUGCGGUCUCAUGAACUGAACUUCGUUGCCUUCCCGCGCGCGAAGCGAAUGGGCGCUGUGCCGUGGGUCAGUUUCGGGGUGGGGAGCGAAGAGAGACCAGAAGAAUGAUUCAUUUGGAUCGACGAGCUUUUUCAGCCCAAAAACAAAGAAUCAAUGGAAUGUCUGUCUAUCCAUGAACAUCUAUUCUAUCUGUAUAUCUAGGGGAUCUCUCUAUACAUAUAGAUUUUUUUUAUGGAAUGAUAUGAUCGGCUAGCCGUAGCCGCAUAUCAGCUACGCUCAAUGCGGGAUUUCUGUUGGAUCAGAUCUUUUGGGAAGCUUUUGGGCCUAGCGAAAAGGGCUCUAAGCCUUCACGCAAGCAAGCGCGAGAGAAGCGGAGCACGAAGCUACCGCUUCACCCGACCGACUAAAAUACAACAGUCGCGACCUACUUUGAUUCAAAAGAAAGGCGAAGGGUUUGGCAACAAGCAAACGGCUUUCUAUCAUAGUUGCAAGGGUUCCAAACCUUAACUACUUAAGUACCAAAGGCUGCUUUCGGUUGGUUUCAUAAUGGGGCUGUUCACUACAAGCUAUCAGCGCUCAGCGCUGUCUUAGAUUGAACGUUGACUUAUCUUAUUGCCGUUCAAUCUCUAAGGCGGGUUUCCGCUGAGAACGGAAUAGUGUUCGUGUCCAAAGGUGAACAAAGCCCUAGCUUCUAGAGUUCGCUGCUUUUCCCAGGCCGGAGAAGGGCUUAUACUGCUCGCCUUUGUUUGAUAUGUUCAUUCAGUACCAAUACAAACAAAAACUACACCAAAGUGGAAGGGCCAGUAUAGAAGCUAGAAGUAGCUAGCCUAU